ensembl:lncRNA
AUGGGCACAUUUAUUUUAGUUGUCAGGAUGGUCUCAGAGGUCACAAAAAAAAAAAGAGCAAGGAAAAAAAUCAUGUGCAAGAUGGCUUCUACAGAUAAUAAAAAAUUAAAUAUUUUGUCAUGCUUUUACAUGUUCCUAACUGCACUGAAACCUGAUCUUCUUGCUACAACUUUGGGCACAAAUAAAAUUUAGCAAAUGGAUAUAGACUGUACGUGCAAUGCAGGCAUAUGCUGACAUAUGACUCCCAUAUGUCAGUUCACAGAGAUUCUACAGCUCCUGAGCCUGUUUUGUUCUUUAAAUAUCUUACCACCCUUUUAACAUUUUGGACCAUUUUUCUAUUUUCAUUAUGGUUUUUCUUCCUUCCUUGAACGUCACAUUCAUUUAUAAGUGACUUGGAUCUGGCAGAAAGGACUGAGAGAAAGAAGGUAACCCCACCGGAGCAGUCCAACAUCUUUAGGAAAACUGUGUGGACUAUGAGUAUCCUGGCUUCCAGGAGCUCUGCACUCCCCCAUCACACACCCCAGGGAUGAUGAAGACCCAUCUGCCUCAGCUCAUCUCCCAGACCCUUCAUACACAUUUCACUGUGACCAGUGCUGUCACAAGUGGUAAGUGUUGCUGGGAAGACGUUCUGCCUCUCCUUGUGCCUGUUAAAGGUGUCAGAACGACUUACCUGAGGUGUUUGUCUUGCACUGCUGCUGUGGCUGCAGGGUGAAUCCACCAUUCCUCCCCCACAGCACCAUCACUGCAAGUUCCGAUGUCAGCAAGGAGCAGGAUCAGAAACAGUACACUGGUGUCUGUCACAGACAGCAGCAGUGAG